rnacentral:rRNA from 1 species
UACGUAGGUGGCAAGCGUUAUCCGGAAUUAUUGGGCGUAAAGAGCUCGUAGGCGGUUUGUCGCGUCCGCUGUGAAAACUCAGGGCUUAACCCUGAGCCUGCAGUGGGUACGGGCAGACUAGAGUGUGGUAGGGGAGAUCGGAAUUCCUGGUGUAGCGGUGGAAUGCGCAGAUAUCAGGAGGAACACCGGUGGCGAAGGCGGAUCUCUGGGCCAUAACUGACGCUGAGGAGCGAAAGCAUGGGGAGCGAACAGG